UUAAACUGAAUCAAUGUUUAUUCAGCUACAUUAACACAUAUCAAUACACUUACAAAUGAAAACAAUGAACUUUAACACCUACAAAAACCAUAACAAGAGCUAUUUAACCAUUAUUCCCUGAGCUUAACAACAUUUUCUAAAUCACUAUUGUUAUUAUUAUUAAAAGGUUACCGAUAAAAGUAAAACAUGAAAAAUCUCAUAAUAAAAAGUAAAACAUAUUUCCCCCAAAAUUAAGUAAAAGCAUUAAAACUGUUGUUGUCAAACCUUGUCCUCCCAGCUAUAUUGGUGUAGGUCUCACACUCUGUUGGUAUUGAUGGAGGGUAAUGGUAUCAGUCUGCAGGUAUUGAUGGCUGGUAUAGGUCUCACUCUCUGCUGGUAUUGAUGGAUGGUAUAGGUCUCACACUCUACUGGUAUUGAUGGAUGGUAUAGGUCUCACACUCUGCUGGUAUUGAUGGAUGGUAUUGGUCUCACACUCUGCUGGUAUUGAUGGCUGGUAUAGGUCUCACACUCUGCUGGUAUUGAUGGAUGGUAUUGGUCUCACUCCACUGGUAUUGAUGGAUGUAUAGGUCUCACACUCUGAUGGUAUUGAUCGAUGGUAUUGGUCUCACUCCACUGGUAUUGAUGGAUGGUAUAGGUCUCACACUCUGAUGGUAUUGAUGGAUGGUAUAGGUCUCACUCUGCUGGUAUUGAUGGAUGGUAUUGGUCUCACUCCACUGGUAUUGAUGGAUGGUAUAGGUCUCACUCUCUGCUGGUAUUGAUGGAUGGUAUAGGUCUCACACUCUACUGGUAUUGAUGGAUGGUAUAGGUCUCACACUCUGAUGGUAUUGAUGGAUGGUAUAGGUCUCACUCUGCUGGUAUUGAUGGGUGGUAUAGGUCUCACACUCUGAUGGUAUUGAUGGAUGGUAUAGGUCUCACACUCUGCUGGUAUUGAUGGAUGGUAUAGGUCUCACACUCUGAUGGUAUUGAUGGAUGGUAUAGGUCUCACUCUGCUGGUAUUGAUGGGUGGUAUAGGUCUCACACU
rnacentral:lncRNA from 1 species